rnacentral:rRNA from 1 species
UACAGAGGGUGCAAGCGUUAAUCGGAAUGACUGGGCGUAAAGGGCGCGUAGGUGGUGAUAUAAGUUAGGUGUGAAAGCCCUGGGCUUAACCUGGGAAUGGCACUUAAUACUGUAUGACUAGAGUAGAGUAGAGGAAAGUAGAAUUUCCGGUGUAGCGGUGAAAUGCGUAGAUAUCGGAAGGAAUACCAGUGGCGAAGGCGGCUUUCUGGACUCAUACUGACACUGAGGCGCGAAAGCGUGGGGAGCAAACAGG